GAUGAACGCUGGCGGCGUGCUUAACACAUGCAAGUCGAACGGAAAGGCCCAAGCUUGCUUGGGUACUCGAGUGGCGAACGGGUGAGUAACACGUGGGUGAUCUGCCCUGCACUUCGGGAUAAGCCUGGGAAACUGGGUCUAAUACCGGAUAGGACCACAUUUUGGAUGGUGGGGUGGAAAGGUUUUCGGUGUGGGAUGAGCUCGCGGCCUAUCAGCUUGUUGGUGGGGUAAUGGCCUACCAAGGCGUCGACGGGUAGCCGGCCUGAGAGGGUGUACGGCCACAUUGGGACUGAGAUAAGGCCCAGACUCCUACGGGAGGCAGCAGUGGGGAAUAUUGCACAAUGGGCGCAAGCCUGAUGCAGCGACGCCGCGUGGGGGAUGACGGCCUUCGGGUUGUAAACUCCUUUCGCUAGGGACGAAGCGUUAUGUGACGGUACCUGGAGAAGAAGCACCGGCUAACUACGUG
rnacentral:rRNA from 1 species